rnacentral:lncRNA from 1 species
ACAAAGACAGCAUUAGAUUAAUUGUAGAGCUUUUAAUUCAACAACCAUCUCAUGCAUCAUGCAUCAUGCAUAUUCAUACUCCACCAACAUCCAUCCAUCCAUCCACCCAUAUCUACACUAUCCAUUCAACAACAACAUUCACUUUCCUCAAAACAUAAACAUGUCCUACAUUUAACACAUAUUGGAAGCCAGCAUGAUGCUCACACCAUCAUCAUAUCUUCUUAAUUAUUCCCCAUAUCAUCAUCACCAUCAUCAUGAAAGGAUUCUUCAAUGGCGUUUGUUGGCAACAUUGCAUUGCUUUCUGAUCUCACCUUCAUUACCCGUGAGUGGAUUGUUCUCAGUAAGAACAGUAAUGGCUCUUCCAAAAUGCUUAAAGAAAUAAUCUUGAUUCUUUGCCAUUUUCUUCACAUAUGGUUUAGUUCUCUUGUCUGUAGCUAACUGAUGAUCCACAAUCAACAAACCCUUGUUGUCCAAUAUGUUUCUGUAGUAGUUGUUGUCUAGUUUCAUAGGGGUACCACGGUCAUUUCUCACAUACUGAACUGCCUUGGGGUCAGGGAUCGCAUCCGGACACUUAUGGAGCAUGUGCUCAACAUGACCCGGGUCAAGAACCGGGUCAACCUCUGGAUACAAACG